CGCAAGCCUGAUGCAGCCAUGCCGCGUGUAUGAAGAAGGCCUUCGGGUUGUAAAGUACUUUCAGCAGUGAGGAAGGUGGAUAUGUUAAUAGCAUAUUCAUUUGACGUUAGCUGCAGAAGAAGCACCGGCUAACUCCGUGCCAGACAGCCGCGGUAAUACGGAGGGUGCGAGCGUUAAUCGGAAUUACUGGGCGUAAAGCGCAUGCAGGUGGUUGUUAAGUCAGAUGUGAAAGCCCGGGGCUCAACCUCGGAAUUGCAUUUGAAACUGGCAAACUAGAGUACUGUAGAGGGGGUAGAAUUUUCAGGUGUAGCGGUGAAAAUGCGUAGAGAUCUGAAGGAAUACCGGUGGCGAAGGCGGCCCCCUGGACAGAUACUGACACUCAGAUGCGAAAGCGUGGGGAGCAAACAGGAUUAGAUACCCCGGUAG
rnacentral:rRNA from 1 species